GGGUGGGGCUCGUCUCGCGCUGCGCUCCUGGCCGCUAGGGGGCGCCAGGGCGCGGCGGGGGGUUCCGCCCUGAGGGAGCCGGGGCUGAGGGAGGGACGGGGCUCACAGCCCGGGGAAUGCCGCGGGAGCUCAGGGAGGGAUGGGGCUCACAGCCCGGGGAGUGCCACGGGAGCUCAGGGAGGGAUGGGGCUCACAGCCCGGGGAGUGCCGCGGGAGCUGAGGGAGGGAUGGGGCUCACAGCCCGGGGAGUGCCGCGGGAGCUGAGGGACGGAUGGGGCUCACAGCCCGGGGAGUGCCGCGGGAGCUGAGGGAGGGACGGGGCUCAUAGCCCGGGGAGUGCCGCGGGAGCUCAGGGAGGGAUGGGGCUCACAGCCCGGGGAACGCCGCCCUCAGCCCCCAGGGAGCCGGAACUGAGGGAGGGAUGGUUUGACCCUACGCCAGGCAGCGCCAGCCUUUCCCUUGUAUAAAUCUCGGUGUGGCACCUUACAGCUUGUCCCUCCUAAGCUCAGGACCUGCUUUGCCAUCCCACCUGUCCUGGGUAGGUUUUGAAGGUCUGUUUUUUACAGAACCCGUUGCCAAAAGGUGAGCUUAGACAGGAUUGCCUUACAGGAAAAGAACAGAUACAAGGUAUAUUCUUUGUAAAAGCCUGAACUUCCCGUGUGUCUUGAGAGGCUCACCUUGUAUCACCAUUGUAGAACAGUAGGCUUUAUCCUCACUAAAAAUAAAGUUAGAAUUGAAAAAUAGCUUAUACCCAUUAGGAUGAACUUAACUACUGUAUUGCUAUAAGAAACUCCUGGGAUUUUUUCUUUUUUAUUUGAUAUUUCUGAAUAGCUAUUUAAGUUAUUUUCUUCACCCUUAAGAGAAUACAAAUAUAGUGUAGUUUAGAUGCAAAGCACAUACUUGAACCCACAAAGUGAAUUCAUUUUGUAUUGUGUUCACGGUAAAACACAGCAGCUGAAAAAAGAGUUGUGACUGAAAGGAAAAUGCCCACAUAAUAUCUAAACCCUGUAAUUUUUACAGCAUAUCUUUGGCUGGGUGUGAAAUCCCAGGGUUAAAAGUGCUCCUGUGUAAAGAAAAUGAUCCAAGAAAUGUACCCCUGCACCAGCAAUGUGUAAGAAACAGGUGGAGAAUAGGAGAUCUUGAGGUUGUUUUCAAUUUUCAAGGAUCUGCGUCCAUAUCAGGAGCUCAUUGCAAGUGAAACACAUCCUCAUGGUGAGCUGUUUUCCAGUGCUGGUGAGACAUCAAAAUCCAGCAUUUGGGCAGUUGUCGAAAUGAAGAACUAGGGAAAACAUUACUCUUAUCAUCUUUCAACCAUUUUUAGCAGUUGCUUUUGAUUUUAUUUCUUUGCUGGAUUUAUACACCCUUGAAACAGAUAACUGAGAAGAGGAUUUGGAAGUGGAUGAUCUUUGCUUUUUUAUAUUCAAUUUUUAGCAGGCAGAGAGGAACCAGUUUUUGUAUAAAGGUAGAGAAAUGCACACCUGGGUCAUAUACAGGGAAAAGGUCUACCUAGUAAAAGUCUGGAUACAUCUGGAUUCAUAUCGCCUCUAAAAUUAUCCAAACACACCCUAAGUGACCAAAAUCACUGUGAACUCUGACUCUGCUCUUCAAUUACACUAAGCAAGGAUGGCAGCAGUACCAAAUCCUGGAUAUUGGGCACUAAUGCAAUGUUACAGCUGGAUAAUGCAAAGUUGCAGCUCAAUAAAGAGCCAAGCUUUUAAAGGAGCUGUUGAGGAAGGUUUGGGUUGUGGUUGGUCACCUCCUUGUUACCUUAGGUUAGGGAUCAUUUAGAGUUUGUUGUGGUAUCCCAGGAAGUUUCUGGUUUCUCCUAGGUGUGUAUAGUCAGUGGCAUGGCUACAUCCAAGAAUAUUGUGUAAAUUUGGGUGGUGGCAGAUGUAAUUUCUCUGCUGCUGAGCUGGGCUUUGGGCUUGGUUUUGCCUCAGCAUGCCACAAAGGACCUGAGAAGAAAACACAGAGGGAUUGUGCACUGUUACCAGCAGUUACCACGUGCUGCUCAGUGGUGCCCUAGGGCUGGGAGCAAGGAUUUUCCAGGAUUUUGAAGGAAAUUUUGAAGGUUAGAGCUGGUGCUGUCCCAGCCACCUAGUUACACAAGGCUCUGUGCUUGGCAAAAGCAGCUCCCCCAGUGCCAAGAAUCAUUUGGAGUCAGUUUGUUCCAUUGCUGGGUGGAGCCUGGAUUUUGAGUUGGCGUGUAGCAAGCUGCUGAGCUAAGUUUAGAGCUGCUGUGGUCAGUGGGUUUCUUACUAACAAUUUUGGUCUGGCAGGGUUCCUUCCCUGGGGCUGGAUUGGAUGAAAGGGUUCAUCAGCCCUCAGGGAUAUACUGGAUUUAAGAGGAGUUGUCUGGCUGAUUUAAGGGGGUUUUGUUAUCCACUUUCGUUAUCCCUGUCAUCCAUAUCUGCCUCGUUCUGUGUCCAGUAUGAGCUCCCUGGCCAUGGUUUGGUUCCAUCCAAGGCCCUUGCAGAUGUGAAGGUGGCACCAGAUGGGGACUGACCCAGAGCAGGCUCUGUGGUUUAGGACUUGUCAUGUCAGGGUGAAGGCUGAGCUUUCAGCCAGGUCACCAAAGGACCAAAUGUGUCAUUAUGUCACAUUUAAAGCCAGCACUUCCUGAAGCCUUUUGGAUUUGUCUUCAGAGCCGAGUUUAGGCUUGGAGUUGCCUGCACUUUAUAUUGUUCUCCUUACACUCUUGUCAUAAUUUCUGGGUAUUCUGACCUUUUCCAGCAUCUCCAAGAAGCAAUGAGACAAUAACAAAUCCCACAAUUAAUACCCCCUCACAAGAUCCUGGGGUUGCAACAGUCUUUUAGCUUAGUUUCUUGAAAAAAAAAAAAGAGGUUUGUGUUCUUAGUACUCUGUUCUUCAAAUAGAACAUGGACCUAAUUGUGACCUACAGAAACUCUGCAUUUUCUGGCUUGGUGUGAAUGGGCAGCUUCAACAAAAAGAAGAGAGAUUUUCAGUUAGAGCUGCACUGAGGACAGAGCUCAGUCCUCUGGAGACGUUUGUUGCUGACACAAUGUUCCUGAAAUGGAGGUUAAUCUUCCAGGGGGUCUUUUUUGCUUCUCCCUGGAGAUAACUCACCGAGAAUCCUUGAGGCAGCAGUGAUGAUAGCAGAAGGAAUGACUGCCACAAACAGAGUGACAUAAUUUAAUCCCAUGGCCUUAGAUAAGUUAUUAAGUACCAUUCCUUAAUCAUGCUCUGUUAAGAGUGAGUAGCUUCUAAACAUUUAAUACAUGUAAUACUCAAGUCUUCCCAGCAUGAAGUUUUUUGCACAAGUAAAUUUUAGUUUUUCAGAGAAGAAGGAAGUCUCUACCUAGAGAAUAUUUUUUCCUUCUUAUAUCUGGAGUUUCAUGCCAGAAGUUUUGGUUGAGGCUGAGCCCUGCAGGAGCUGCCAGUCCUGCCUGCAUGGGACGUCUGCAUGGCUACUUCCACUUCCUGGAGAAGACAAUGAAUGAGGGAUUCUGGUUUUUACGUUUUUUCUUGGGAUUCUUUUACUUGAUUUCUUCUGGUUUUCUUUGUUUCCUUCCUGCUCUGGACUAUGUAUAGUAAAGACGUUUUAUGUCUUUCAUCCUACUCCCUCCAUUUCUUGUUAGUAAUUUUGAGGGUUUUUUUCUCCUUUAUGUUCCUUUAAAAAAGCUAAUUUGACAUCCGUAGAUGAAAAGGCUGCUCACACAAUCAUUUCAGCAAGGGAUCUAGGAAAAAUGAGGACACAUACUGUGGGAGUGUGUCAGGAAAUGCAUGCAGUGCUAUUCAAGUAUUACCUUAUUAUGUGUUCUUGUAGGUAAUGUCACCCAGCACAGAAGGGUGAGGACUCUACAGCAGCCCAAAAUACAGCCCUGUGGCUUGGGAGGGAAGAAAACCACUCUGUUGAUAGUGAUUUUGUUCUAAGACAUCAGUGUAAACAUUGCUGUUUAUUUUUCCUCUAAGUGCAAUGAAUGCAACCUGAUCUCUGCUUCUAAAUCUAUAAUAGUUUAAAAAAAAUGCACUUGUAGACUGAUUUUCCAGUUUUUCCAGGCAGUAAUUCCCUCCCUGCUCUUACAAAAAAAAAAAACAUUUUUCCUUAUCAGUGGCAAGUUGGCAGAGAAGUUCCUGGUCAUAGGGCUACAAAAGAAAUUAGAGGCAGGGACACACAAGCAGCUGAAUAAAUCUGUGGGACUGGGACUGUUGCUGCUGUUAAUUCUCAGCACUUCUUUCCCUUCACACAGGAGCACACGGGUAGUGUAAGACAGUGACCCUUGGUCUGCAGGGUACAGGCUGAAGCACUUAGGUAAAGAACAAAUCAGAGGCUUCUUGGCAAGCAACAUCCUGAGCCCUCAGAGGCAUCCUUGUUUGUAACUCCACAUAAACGUGCUGUUCCAGAGAUCCCUGGGGAGGAGUAUGGCUGUUCAAGGGCAGUGCUUUCUGAGGGAGCAUCGUGGUUGAACUUGUGCAUCCUGCCAGGAAGAGGCUGAUAGAGCCUGGGAUGUGGUGUGACCUCCCAGCUGGCCCAUUAAAUGCCUGUCACUCCUCUGACCUGGGACAACUCUGAAAAGUGGGAUUCCUUCUGGUGCUGAGAUGGAUCAGGCUGAAGCACCUUGUUGUGCUACUCUGGGCUUUCCCAUGUGCCUGCUUACAGGGCUCUCAGGGAAUGCUUCUCUGAUGGCAUUUCUUGCACCAAAAGCAAGGUGGGUGUCCCUCUCUGCUCCCGCAUAGCCAGCAAGAGUUCUGACCCUUAAAGAGCCUUUGUUUUUCCUGUAUGGAGGGCAUCAGUUCCAUUUCCCAGAAUGUUUCUUCUGGGAGACUGUGAGACUCAGCGACUGAUUUGCAAGUGCUGUUAGAGAUGGAGCAUUGUGCACUUCUGCCUUGACAACCAGGAGAUGCACCCACAGGCACUGCUGGCUGUUGUGGACUCUGCUUGGACUUGGUUUUUGGGAAGAAGACAAACACAAGUGAGUGGAGAAGGGUCUUGAUAAGACUUUUUUCUGAGAAAGAAAAAACACAGAAAAAGCUACACAAGCUGUUCAAAAACUGUAUUUCAAUGCUCUCUGCACUUCCUCCGAGCAAUCUUCCUCCCAGAGAACAGAACAAGUGGAACUGUGCAACAGUAAGUGAAGUUUUAGUAAUAUUUUUUUAUAUGCUGGCUUUUGAUAGCUAUUGAAAAUUGUUUCAGAGAUGUUUGGGUAAUCCAGACACACUGCCAAAGCUGGAGGUACAAACAAGAUUUGCUGUUGGGUGCAAUCAGGAAAAGGGGGAGGAAGAAGCAGGCAGAGCACAGCUGGGCAGCUCCCUAACAUGGCUUUACCAGGAAAGUUUCUGUGCAGCCCAUGGGUGGCUUUGCUCCACUCACUGCCUCAUUCCCGAGCGAGCAGCUCUCUGAGAGCUCCCUCCACUGGAAUAAGAGUUUAGUUGGUCAUUACUAAAAUGAAUCCUGGUGAAAACACAAAAUGGGAGUAGAAAAAAAAAAACAACCCAAAAAACCAAAAAACAACAACAACAACAAAAAAAACCACCCAAAACCAAAACAACCAACCAAUGAAACAAACAAGCAAACAAACAAAACCCACCCCAAAAAUCUGCAUUUAAAGCACUGAUACUUCUCACAGGUGGUGAUAAAUACAAAUCCCAUGUUUUUAACCCUGCUGCUACAUCUCAUGCAUUCCAUACAUUCCGCUUGUGGAAGGAUUGAGUGUUACUGGGCAAGAGAGAGGCACUGCCCCUGGCUGGGGCAUCUGUGCUUCAGGAUGAUUCAUCAGCUCAGAUGGAAUUGGGCUGCUUAAGCUGGAACAAGUAGGGGCUGUGGGAGCAGGACUUGUAUAUUUGUGUGGCUCCCAGAAACGGCACCUUAAAAGAAUGGGAGGAUCUAAUGUGUUCCCUUGGCUGUGAAAUUCAGGAGAGGCUGGAGUGAGAGCUGUUUGGAGAAAUAAAUUGUGAUGAACUUCCUAGUUCAGUGAUUAUGAGCUGCAGUGUGGUAAAGGGUAGUGAGAUAUGUCCUCCCAAUAUCUCAGUUUAAAUGGUGUCCCCUUGCUUUGGACUAGCUCAUAUUUAAGUUGCAGCAAUCUUUUUUUCCUACUCUUCUCUGGAGCUAAUCUUCAAGACAAUAUAAAUUGCUAUUCACAGAUCUUGAAUUUUGCUUUGUUUCUGGUAAAACAAAUCACCCCAGUCAAGGUCUCCUAGAACUAUGCUGUACAAGCACAAGGGAAUGUAUGAUCUCUGCCCCAGUUCAGGAUAAUGAGUCUUUGGCUCACUUGCUCACUUCAAAUGACAAUCAUAUGUACCCGUUCACUAAAUCCUUGAGAAAAUGCAGGAGAACCAGGCCAGAAAUAAGUAUAAAAACCUAGGUCCAAGCAGAGAAAAUUUUGAACUACCAGAAUGUGAAAAUAAGAGAUUUUCAAAGUGAAAGGUGACCCCAUCCUGCCUUCUUCAUUUGCAUUUCACUUCUAUUAUAAGUUUGAGUCAUGGGGCUCAGGUAAACUUGGGGCAGACAUGGCAGAUCUGCAUCGGUCCAGUGAUGGUGUCAUUCCUGGUGCGGUGCUGGGGAGAGGACAAA